rnacentral:siRNA from 1 species
UGUAGUUGAUUCAGGCUAUCCGAA